rnacentral:rRNA from 1 species
GUUAAACAUAAAGAGCGUAGGGUGGAUGCCUAGGCACUGACAGCCGAAGAAAGACGUGACAAGCUGCGAAAAGCUGCGGGGAGAAGCACAUAUUCAGUGAUCCGCAGAUGUCUGAAUGGGGAAACCCACUUGGAAGAACUCCAAGUAUCUGUACGCCAAUACAUAACGUACAGAGGGGAACCCGGUGAACUGAAACAUCUAAGUAGCCGGAGGAAAAGAAAACAACAGUGAUUGCGAAAGUAGCGGCGAGCGAAAUCGUAAGAGCCCAAACCGUGGUGCGUGCACUGCGGGGUAGAGGACUGCAAUACGAGUAAGAUAUAUUACCUGAACCGUUUUGGAAAAGCGGGCCAAAGAGCGUGAGAGCCGUGUAAGGGAAAAUGUAUUGAAUCCAGCAGUAUCCGGAGUACCACGAGACACGAGAAACCUUGUGGGAAGCAGGGGGGACCACCCCCCAAGGCUAAAUACUAGUCAGUGACCGAUAGCGUAUAGUACUGUGAAGGAAAGGUGAAAAGAACCCCGGGAGGGGAGUGAAAAAGAACCUGAAACCCUAUGUUUACAAACUGUGGAACACCGAAAGGUGAACCGCGUACUUUUUGUAGAACGGUCCGGCGAGUUACAUGUACAGGCGAGGUUAAGUAUUAAAGAUACGGAGCCGAAGGGAAACCAAGUCUUAAUAGGGCGAUAAUAGUCAGUAUGUGUAGACCCGAAACCGGGUGAUCUAUCCAUGUCCAGGUUGAAGUUCGCGUAAAAGUGAAUGGAGGACCGAACACACAUCCGUUGAAAAGGGUGGUGAUGAGGUGUGGAUAGGGGAGAAAUUCCAAUCGAACCCGGAGAUAGCUGGUUCUCCUCGAAAUAGUUUUAGGACUAGCCUCGUUAUUAGUCUACCGGAGGUAGAGCACUGAAUUUUUGCGGGGGCGUCAAAGCCUACCAAGAGAUAUCAAACUCCGAAUGCCGGCUAGAUGAUUGACGGGAGUCAGACUGCACGAGAUAAGUUGGGUAGUCAAAAGGGAAAGAGCCCAGACCUACGGCUAAGGUCCCAAAGUGUGUGUUAAGUGGAAAAGGAUGUGGGAUUUCGAAGACAGCUAGGAUGUUGGCUUAGAAGCAGCCAUACAUUAAAAGAGUGCGUAACAGCUCACUAGUCGAGAGGUCCUGCGCCGAAAAUGUCCGGGGCUAAACACAACACCGAAGCCUGGGAAUGUAGUAAUACAUUGGUAGAGGAGCAUUCUUAGAGGCGUAGAAGCCAUACCGGAAGGAAUGGUGGAGUAAUAAGAAGAGAGAAUGCCGGAAUGAGUAGCGAGAAAGAGGUGAGAAUCCUCUUGGCCGAAUAUCUAAGGUUUCCUGAGUAAAGCUGAUCUACUCAGGGUAAGUCGGGGCCUAAGGCAAGGUCGAAAGACGUAGUCGAUGGAUAACAGGUACAGAUUCCUGUACUACAUAUAAUCAGAACUGUGGGGACACGGAGACUAAAACCGAACCCGGGAGGACAAAAACCGGGGCAAGCGAAGUACCUGUAUGGGAGGAAAACCCACCAUACAAGGGGAAUGCGUGAUGCGUACCGAAAAUUAGUAGGGAAGUCGGUUAGGGAGCCGUCAAGAAAAGCCGCUAUUGUGUUAUAUGUACCCGUACCGCAAACCGACACAGGUAGAUGAGGAGAGAAUCCUAAGGCCGGCGGGAGAAGCAUUGUUAAGGAACUCGGCAAAAUGACCCCGUAACUUCGGGAGAAGGGGUGCCACUGGAAACAGUGGUCGCAGAAAAAAGGCUCAAGCAACUGUUUAGCAAAAACACAGGUCUAUGCGAAACCGCAAGGUGAAGUAUAUGGGCUGACGCCUGCCCGGUGCCGGAAGGUUAAGAGGAGAAGUCAGGAAACGAAGCUUUGAAUUGAAGCCCCGGUAAACGGCGGCCGUAACUAUAACGGUCCUAAGGUAGCGAAAUUCCUUGUCGGGUAAGUUCCGACCCGCACGAAAGGCGUAAUGAUUUG